GGGGGGAAAAAAAAUAAGUAGUUUAAAUAGAAAUGAUUGAUUUAUCUCUAGUAUUCUUACAGUUUAUUUCAAAUGAAGUCUGUGGACCAGCAAAUCAAACUUAAACAGGCUUUCUGUCUGGCCUUGAGACAAGUGUGGAAUUUUUAAGCAAGACAUCAGUCUCCUGUGCUCUCACACACCUGUGGAACAGCAGGGGACCUCCAUCAGGCAAAUCAUUGGAAACCUAAAAACAAAUCCAGCUGUUGGAAGCAAUAUGCAGGUUUUGUGACUGCUCUUGAAAGAUGCGUUCGGCUUAAAUUCAAGGGCAAACUACUGUUUUCCUGUUGAAUGCCUUGCAGAUGGAUUAUUACAGGCUAGCAUUAUAUUUUUAAAUGAAAUGCUUCUUUCUUUGCCAACUAUGGAUUCAUUCAAACAGAUUUUAUUUUGAAAUUCCAAAAUAAACAAACCUCAAUGAUACUGUGAGAUUUCACAAUGUUAAUUUAGACCAGAGUUACAGCGUAUGUAUAAAGUAACUAUUUAUAUUCCAUGUGUCAAAACAUACAGACUGCAGAGAGAUGAUGAAGGUGUGACGAGUUGUCUGGAUACAGUUAAAUGAACUUAAGACCAUUUUCUAUAUGUUGCUUAAUUAACUACUAAAAAGUGGUAUGUAUUCCAUACUUCACACUGCUUCCAGCCACUGUAAGGAAGAGUAUUUUCAAAACGCUGCUUAUGAUAUCACUUUGUUUCAGGAUGAGACGACAGCAGUAAGAGGACUCUGCACCUGGCAGGUAGAAAGGUCAGUACGGGAUAAGCUGCUUCUCACAGGAACAAAGAUUACGCUCUGCUGCAGCUUCAUUUAUUUACUGAAAAUAAAGCUAAUUCCUAUUGUGACAAACAGAAAAAUUCUACUGUUGAGAAGAAAACAAAAAACAUAACCACUGAGAAGUGAGAGAAGUCAGGUACUCAACUUCACGUAAACCUACCACACUUGCAAUGCUUCCCCAAGCUCUGAUUCAACUGACAGAGCAGGAUUUAUGUUUAAGCAGCACUUUCCUGCAGAUGGGAGCUGUGCCGUGCAGAAGCUGUUACUGUCUGAGCCAGACAGUUGAUACGAAGACGUGAAGAGGGGAACAGACUGUGCCUGGAUUGGAGAGGUGCAACGUUUUAGUAAUGCACACCUGGUAAGAAGAAAGUGCUGGUAGAUUCUAUGUCAAAUGCACUCACUGCCUUUAUUUGUGAUCUUACUGCUAUUUAUGUGAUCUUACUGCUAUUUAUUACUGUAAAUCCCUAAUGGUGGUGAAAACAUUUGAAGCGGUACUCUUGCCAGUUGUUUCCAGUGAUGCAAAAGUGAACAUUAGAUGUAACCUAAGGCAGAAUUUGGCUUGGAAGUUUUUGUAACAAACUUGAAAAAUGGGCAAAAACACACAUCAAUUUUGGUUAGUUCAGCUCAGGAAUGAAGCCAACCAAAAUGGAUUUUACAGCACGCCAACAUUCUGUCUGCUCAAGCCUGCCAGAAAAACACAGACUGUCCUCUCCACUUUCUCUUUAAACCUGUAAGGGGGGACGGCUUUUCCUAGUGCACUACAGGAGGCACAGGGCUAUUAGCAGAAAAAGAGGGCCCUGCACAGUAGUGGCUCUGGCAGUGCCCUGCCAGCUGGGGAUUCCCCUGUGUGCACUUAUUUUACCGUGGCUUUGCUGAGGUUCUGGUUUUAACACGUGAAUGCUGGCAGAAUUUGAAUCAAAGCAGAAAGUUGUUUGUUUUCAAGGACUAAGAGCUUAAGUUUUAACCAUUCACGCUGAUAAGGAACAACCUUUAUUCAAAGAUUCCUGGAACAUUGCUGAAAAUGUUUCCUCUUUUAAAUAUUUCAUUCUAGAACAAAGACAAGAAUACCCAGCGUACAUUUCACAACCUAAAGGUUCUUCCAGUAAACUAAAUAUAGGUUGAACCAAAUGAAUUGUUCCUGAUGUAGCAACUAUUUCAGGGCUGCACUCUGGGCAAAGAAAAAAAGAAAAAGGUCAGGCUGUUAAUUGCCUGUUUGUCAUAGGGCUGGGGUUAUCUCCAUUUUCUACCAAAACUUAAGGAAAACUGUCAGAAUUUCACUGCUGGAGCAGCUGGGACAGAGAGAGCUUCUUGUGCUGCAUGCUAAUUAUUAGCCCUUGGCAUCUAGAGCAAAGGAAAGCCUUGCUGCAGAAAUAACAGUAAAUACCAGAAUUCCAGCGUUACCUUAAAGAUUCAUCUGUUACCAGUUGCAGCCAAGCAGACAGCAGGUGACUGGACACUAAUGCCAGAACCCACUGAAAGUCAAAAAUGCUCUUAACUAACCACAGAAGACUGAACAGAGACCCAAACUUUUGCAGUCAUGCUUGCGACUGUAAAACCGGGACAUGUGUUUUUCAGCUGAGAUGUACUAUAAGGCAGGUAUGUAUUAUCACGUCAUGCUUUGAGAUUGUGAAGGAGUUUAUGACAACAAACAACAGCUCUGAAUGUUUGCAGUGAAACAAUCAAGUUGCGCGGUUGCUGGCACAGCUUUAAAGCAGCAAAUGAAGUCUCACAGCAGUCUUGUGUGUGCUGCACCCUACAUCAAAGAGCUGGGGUUUGGGAGUGGGCAGGAUUUGUUCUGUGAAAGCUAAAACAUCUCAAGCAUCAGAUUUGCACAAAACAGGUUUGUUACAGUGCCCACAUUCUGCUGGAGCACAAAAGUGCCACAGUUUCAAAGGGGCUCAUUGAAAUGGCUGGAUAGAUAGACACUUGCUGCUCUCAGCUUGGAAACUGAUGUUUUUACCUUUUCAGUAGUGCUCAAAGCCUUCAUAGAAUUAUUUCAAAAGCUCAUUUUGAAAGACCUGUCUGGAAACUCCCCUCCCCCCACCCAAGCAGUAAUUGGCUUAAGCAAAGCUUUGUAACUUAACUUUUGCAAUGCAACCAACUAAAACCAGGAAGGGAAGCCAGGACUCCUAGGCCAUGAGCUGUUUGCCUCUCACAACAUGGUGCAGAAAGCUGUUCAAUUCACACUUUCAUCAGCUCAGAACAAGCUAUAACUUUGUAUUUUACUUAUGCAUGUAAUAUGAAAGAAUGUCAGAUACCAUCUGCUUCUACUAGUAUCUUUAAGCUUUCUAUGAAUGAUAAUUCUUAUUUUACUUGUAUAAGCAGGAGCGAUGGCUAAUUGUAAGGCCAGAGUAAACUACGAGAGGCAAAGUGUGGUUGCAUGAGCUCAGCUUGGAAAGUCUGCACGCAAAGAUGAUUUCAGGAAAACUAAAGAGCAACUUCAUUAGUGACCAGGCUGAAUGACAUCAGAAACUUGAAGCUGUCCAGAUCAACAGACUGGUGAACAGACUGGUGUUGACAAUCACCACAAAAAUACAGUGCAUGAAAAGAACAAGUGAGACUAAAUAGGGAAAUUAAAAAAGGAAGUUUUUCCCCAUCCCCUCUGAAAUGCACUAAAGCAGGCAGGAGUGAAAAUGCAAGAUAACAUUAAAGGGCAGCAGGGCAACAGCUGCAGAGAAACCAAGAAACAUAUAUUUCAAAAUGCAGAUGGAAUCUUUUGCAGAAUUACUGCUGUAUCAGCUGCGAUGGUGACAAAGCAAUUCUUCGCUUACUGCCUGGCUCAGCUCCUAAAGCUUCAGAACAGCUUCAGAAGUGGAAACACGUCAAGGGAGAAAGGUAAAAAGGAGUCUUGUCAUUACAUUUUCCAGUCCAUCUGUGUAUGCAUGCAAAUCCUGUAGGACGUGUUCUGUGUCAAGAUGGCUACAGGUUGCACUGAAUAUAUUUUUUGUACGAUAUGACUGUUCUGCAAAGAAAGAUGCUGCACAGCCUGAUGGUAUCCCAGUGACAGACACCAACAGACUGUUCUUCUCCUAAUAUGAUAUUCCUCAGUGGAAUUUGGAGACCGUACAAUACCUUGUAUCAUCACAAGUUGCUUAUUGAUAAAUCCCUAUGAACUUACCCUGCAAGCCUACGUUAUUUGUUAAUGCUCAUCACAAGAGUUUUGAUGUGAUACCAGGCAAUAUUCAUCAUCAAGUUGAAUUUUUUUUCCCAUAACAGCUCUCCACAACAAACACAUCACGUUGAAGGACUCUUACUGUGCUAAUUAUUAUGUACACAUUGUUACCAGAGAACAGCCUGGAAAGUGGGACAAUCAUCAACAAGGAGGUAGCAGGAAUCAGAUAAGCUUCAUUUUUGCUUGUUAUCAGUCAUAUGAAGCAACCACAAGUCUAGAUUUAGCUGUUUCUGCCAUCUUAUUUAGUACCACAGACUUCUAACAACUUUCAAGGCAUUACAUAAAAACCUUGACAUGAAACUGGAUGCUUUUUGCAGUUCUCAAUCAAUUGGAGUAAAUGGAUGUUUCUGGGCUGUAUUUGCUGUGACAAACAGCAUGAAGUUGCAAAGCAAAUAUAAGUAAUAUUGUCAUGUAACACUGACUUAAUAUCUAGUUGGUUUGAGAAGCAAACGCCAGCUUCAUUAAAGGCUCAGAAGCAGGUAGUCAAGAAAAAAAAACACACUAGUGAUAGGAAACAGCUUAUUUUAACUGUUAGUGAAUAAAAAGUAUUUUGCAUAGAGCCCCUCCUAUGACAGCAAAGAGUAUUUUUGAAGAUGAAGGCACAGAGAGAGGGUGGAGGUGGAACUCAGAGGUUCCGCUCCUGCAACUACUACAGGUUUUCUAUUUGACUAUGGGCACGCCAAGCUACAAGUACAUCCUUCAGCUUCCUGACCUCUAAGUAAUGCUUCUCUACUUGAUACAGAAAGCUUAUUCACCUGUUUGGCAGACUCAAAGAUAACACGGCAAGCACUGCUCUUGUGUUUGAAUGAUCAACUAGUAGUUAAAAGGCAAAACUACUCUGUGGCUGUAAUUGUGCUACCUGGACUGCAGACAAAAGGCCACUAAGAUGAGUCACUGAACGAGACAAGGGGACUUGCAGAUGUUUGUUCCAAAGCCAUUCAGGUGGAAAGUGUGUAUAUCUCAAAAGAAACUGUCCUUGUUAGACAUGUUUUUAGGUAGCUUACACAACCAGCAACACCAUUCUCAGAGAGAGAAGUAGCAAUUCCUUUGGAUCUACACAUCUUUAUUAAAAUGAAGAAAGAAAUGGAAGCGAUUGUACGGAUGGUAACUGAAAGCCUAGAAGACAGAAUGGGGCUUCUUGUAAAAUGAAAAAUGCUAACUCCUACCUUUCACAGAAACCUUUCUUAGAUAUAAGGUAUGAAAAUAGAACUAUUAUUUAUUGCUAACUCCAAACUAAGAACAUACUUAUAAUUCUUGGGCAGAUCAGACCACUCGUGUCUCAGUUGUAUCAACAGGAGAAUAAUCUGCUUGCAAGUUGCAAGACAAUAAAAGAUAAAAAGUUUAGAAAAUGAAAAUCAAAGGUGGUGAGUGAAUGCCUCAAGCUGGCAAGAAAAAUAUUCAUGCUCUUUAAAUGUGACAAAGCAUCACAACUUAUCUAAAAUGCAUGGACAAUGUUUACACAUGCAGAGACUGCUGAACAAUAUUUGUGACACGUACCAUCAUGGAGCUUAUUAUAUAUAAGCUACUUCAGUAAUUCUGCAGUAGAGGAAGACUGCACAACCACCAGAAUGCUGUUGGCUGCAUAUAAAUGCUGCCCUGCUGACAAACUUCUGUGAGCAGCCUGGGCUGUAGCUGCAUUUUACUAAUCAACAGCUACAGCUCACUACGCACAUGGCUUUCAGGAUAGCUUAUAAAGGUGUUUCCUGUUUUUCUCUAGAAGAAAGAGGUUUUGUAUCACAAUCAGAUUAAAGCAAGAAAAAAAAAAAGCCAAGCCUUUUCUGUGGUGAAGCAAAAGAAGAAUCCCUGUUACGCUUCAUGGGCUGCAAUUUGAAACAUAAUAACUCCAAAACUGAAACUAUAGCAUGAGAUGGCCAAGAACAUGAAGACCUGAACCAGGUUGUUGAGAGAAGUCAUAAACCUCUGCCACAACGCUGAAUAAAUCACAGGCUGCUCUUUGUACAAUACCCCCUCAUUGCUGAUUUUGUGUGUGAGGUACAGUGAAUAAUUAAACAUGCAGCUGGUUGCAGUCCUGGCUGGUAACAACAUGAUCGCUAGUUCCUAAAAUGCUUCUUGCAACACUGGGAAUGUUGACUUAUGAGAAAGCUGUCCCUCCCAGGCCAGAACGGAAAAGAGGAUUAUUGCCAGAAUGAAUAACACCACAUUUCCUUUGUGGUCUUUUAGCAUAUGAUAAGGAAAUACUAAGCUAAUCUUCAAAACGUGAGGAAACAUCCAACAGUUUGCAGUGUAUUCCCAGAUUGAUGAUGCCUGACCGAAAAGACAGAAGGGGGAUCCUCCUGGUAAUAGGAAAACACUAUACCUUUCAGUAGCAGUAAGAGGUGGAAACAAAAGGCUUAAUAAACCAAACCGAGGAGACAUGUUUAACUACCUAAGUCAUUUUAAAGACUAGCAUAUAUCAAUGCAGAAGCGCUGUACAAUCAACAGUCAGUAUUCAAUUGAAAACCCAGCUUACCCAAAGGGAUCACCAACGACAAGAAAAGCGACGUCACAGACAUCAGCGUCUUUCAGAAUGCUGUCUGCUUCUUGUUCCACUGUUUCUCGAUCAGCCAAAAUCAGUUCUUUUCCGUAAAACUCCUCCUGGAUACGGAAAUUAAUAGGAAACAGCAAUAAGACACUUGGCGAGCCAAGGCUGCGUGUGUGCCAUUAAUGAGGAUGUACCACGACUUUACCAGCGCUUCCUUCCCCACGGUGAGCACGGACGUGUAGGCCUCCAGGUACACCCUGCGGCAG